CGGCCCCGCUCUGCUGCCGUCCGCCUGCCGGGCAGACGGCGGCGGCGCGGCGGGGCGCGAUGGCGGCCGGGCUGGGGCCGUGGCUGCUGGCCUUGGCCUUGGGGCCGGCAGGAGUGUGUGCACAGUUCAGACUCGAAGCAUCUGGCGGAGGUGUGCAAGCACCUGGGGAGUCUGUGCAGCUCUCCUGCCAGGGAUCCGGCUUCAAUUUUGGAAGUUACGCUGUACUGUGGUACCGUCAGGCACUUGGUGGUCGUCUGGAGUGGCUGUCCUACAUCUAUGAUGAUUAUAUUAUUAGAUUAAGCCCUGAGUUGGAGGGUCGAGCCUCGGUUUCUCGUGAGGAUUCCCAAUCUGUGUCCUAUCUGUCUCUCCGUGCCCUGCACCCACACGACUCAGCGCUCUACUUCUGUGCUGUUCACACGGGAACAGGAAAUCCUGCAGAGCUGUAACAAAAAAUCCCCUUCUUAGACACAGCCACUGCUGCUGGAACCACAGUGCUGGCAGGAACUGGAGCAGCUCUGGGCUGCUCCUGGACAGUGAGGAGACAUCAGUGCACCCUACAGAUGACCCUGUCCUUUCUGCCACGUCUCUCUGCCAUCACUUCUCCUGAGUCACAAAAGCAGUGAUGUGACCUGAGGAUCAUAUUCACAAUAUUUCUGUUCACACUAUCAGUUUGGCUACUUUUCCUGCCUCCUACCUGCAGCAUGUCUGCACCUGAUUUUGGUUUCCUUCUUCCAUUGGGUACUCAAAAGCAUUUGGGCAUUUCUUGCUACAGCAUUGCCUGCUUCCGUCACCCGUGUGGAUGGCUUUUUCCAUCUGUCUCUGUGAUCAAAGCAGUGGGUGAAUAAAUCUGAUGUGGUUUCUGGGACAUUUCAGAGUGAUGGAAUCCAACAAAUGCAGUCUGUAGCGUUGCAGCUAGCAGGGCAAUCUGAGACCCUUCAAAUUACAUACGUCACUCUGCAAAUCACAGAAUCACAGAAUCACAGAAUCGUAGGGGUUGGAAGGGACCUCCAGAGA